GCAGACGCUCAUUCGGUGAGGAGUUGGACUCGGACCGAAGUGAUGAGAGUGAAAAUACCUACUGUGGCAGACUUGAAGAUAUCGCAUCAGUCCACCUCGCAGGACAGUGAAUCCUGCUGUUUUACAAGCAGGGGGUGAAGGAAAUGUUCUGAACAACGCGCACCGGCUUUGUGUGGACCAUCUGUCAUUGUAUUGACAUACAGCAGCCCUCCUGCCCCCAAAGAAUCCGAGCGAGACACCUGAAGAGCAGAAAACAGACAGCGGAUCGUUCAGAGCCGCCACCCGUCUCUCACAAAGCCGUGACUCAUGCUGUGAUCUGUCUGUGUGGAUGGGUGUUCCUGAUGCUGACUUGUGACUCCAUGAAGAUCAUAUCCAUCAGAAAGAUGACUACUAUAGACAUCCCGAAUUUGAUCCUGCACACUAAAUCGGCUUACGGUAGAGGAAGGAGACAUCGCUCUCUAUUAGCCCGCAUUUAGAAAUGAAAGCCUAUCUGGCUGCAACUGUGGAGGAGCUCCGAAGAUGGGGAUGUUUAUUGUCAGGGGCAAAUAGAGGCCUUUUAAUUUUGUCUAGCAACUGACGCCUCUCGCCGCCCACUCCUCCAAAAACCACCUUUGUCAGUAAUGUAGAGUGGCCUGCUCAGGCUAGAGCGAGUGACCAUGAGAGUUUCAUAGCAGGAAAAAAAAAGUUUGUCGUUGAUAGGCUCGGGGAGGAAAGGUCCGGCUGUUUGCCAUGUGAUGUAAUUAUCUGCUAUUUCAAAAGAUUAUCUCCCAGUAGUAAAUAAAUGUAAAUGUAAAAAAUUUAA